rnacentral:rRNA from 1 species
AUGAAAUGUGUCAAGUCAACAAGAAUUGUUUUGAAUGAACUUAGAGAAGAUGGAUGGGAAUCUAUGCUAAGUGAAGUUCACGUGUUUUGCGAGAAACAUGGUACUGGAGAGUUGGACAUGGAAGAAGCAUAUGUUAAUCCAAAAAAGAGAAGGCAGGUAACCAGAAUUACCAACAAAUAUCAUUAUCAAGUUGAUUGCUUCAAUGAUGUUUUUGAUUGGCUAGUUUAGGAGCUUGAUAGUAGGUUCAGUGAGACAUCCCUAAUGCUUUUUUGGUCAGCGUCUUUGAGUCCACGAGACUCAUUUCAUGGUUUCAAUUUGGGAAAUCUUAUGAUUCUGGCUAAACUAUACCCUCAAGAUUUUGAUUUUGGGGAUUUUAGGCAUCUUGAUAGGGAUCUACGGCUCUAUUGCUGA